AUCAACCCCACGUCUUCACCAAAGCAGCCUGAGCAGAUUAUGUCUGGACGGAUCUGAUAUGAGAUUAAACAAAAAUCUUCAGAAGCCUCAGGAUUUCAGGACCAGGGGUUCCUGGCAUGAGGUUCCGUGGCUUUCCGGUCACUUUUCAGGGUAUUAACGUGCAUCAAAACUCACAGAGGAGCGGUGGCAAACCGGCGAACCAGCACAAGUACAAAAUAGCCUCGUUUGACAGCAGUUCCUCGGCCGUCCCGGGCGUUUCCACUGGGGAAUCUCUUCACACAAGUCCCCUCAUCCAUUUCCAGUGGUUUUUACCCAUGAAAUGAAAAAAGGGGAAAGAAAAGAAAACACAGACGGUCCCCAGGAGAAAACUCUCUCGGCCCCUGAGAGCAACAAAUCUCCAUUUUUGUGAGUGAGGGAGCGUUUGUUUGUACGCAGCAGCAGCAGCAGCAGCACAGAGGUGGGCGGGGACAAGGUCUACUCACGCGUCAGGAUCCCACGUCACCACCAGGUGGCGGUACAAGUCUAGACGCUGGGAAUAGGACGCAUUCCCACCAAAGAAGAAUAGGAUGAUGCUACAGCUCCCUCGGACCGAGGGUCGCCAGGUCGAGGCUCGGAUGGUUAUCCUUGGCGACGACUUAUUCUUUUUUCUGUUGGUGAGCAGGGCUUAAUACUCCACCUACUGGUAGGGGUGGAAGUUCACUUCGCACAUGCGAAAAUCGCCAAAAUCGGAGCGCCGUGCGUUCAUGACGCAAACAGCUUCAUGCGCACGACGGGCGUUGCGUCUGAGGCCAGUUUUACGUUGUAUGACGCUAUAUGACGCCAGUUUUACGUUCCAUUUGCGUCCGAACUCAAAACUCAGGAAACUCGUUGGAACCUGGGAGCAAACGUGUCUCUGGCUAGCCAUUUCCUGCCAGCGUAAAAACUGGAGUUGUUGGGGAAACAAACACAAUCUAGCGACCUGGUGCCGUGUAAAAUGUUGUGACUGGUUUACGUUGACUGUGCAUCAUGCUUCGCUCAUCUCAGACGACGUAAAUACAAAACAUUCGCGUGGACCAACGCCAACGACGAAAUUUAUGUCACGCGUAAACUAGGAUCCAAGAGUCUGAUCCUCUUUGGCGUGACAGAUCAGACAGAACAGCAUUUAUAUCUAUUUCUCAUGCAAAGGAAAUAGUUUGAAGAUAAAGUACCUGAUCAGAAACCAC